UGGCGGACGGGUGAGUAACGCGUGGGUAACCUGCCUUAUACAGGGGGAUAACAGUCAGAAAUGACUGCUAAUACCGCAUAAGCGCACAGGACCGCAUGGUCCGGUGUGAAAAACUCCGGUGGUAUAAGAUGGACCCGCGUUGGAUUAGCUUGUUGGUGGGGUAACGGCUCACCAAGGCGACGAUCCAUAGCCGGCCUGAGAGGGUGAACGGCCACAUUGGGACUGAGACACGGCCCAG
rnacentral:rRNA from 1 species